rnacentral:rRNA from 1 species
UACGGGGGGAGCAAGCGUUGUUCGGAUUUACUGGGCGUAAAGGGCGCGUAGGCGGCGUGACAAGUCACUUGUGAAAUCUCCGGGCUUAACCCGGAGCGGCCAAGUGAUACUGUCGUGCUAGAGUGCGGAAGGGGCUACUGGAAUUCUUGGUGUAGCGGUGAAAUGCGUAGAUAUCAAGAGGAACACCUGCGGCGAAGGCGGGUUGCUGGGCCGACACUGACGCUGAAGCGCGAAAGCCAGGGGAGCGAACGGG